GGGGUUGUGGCUCAGUGGUGGAGUGCUUGCCUAGCAUGCAUGAGGCACUGGAUUCGAUCCUCAACACCA
rnacentral:tRNA from 1 species